ACAGCAAUUCUUGAAAAAUAAAAGCAAAAUGUCACUAAACAAAUUUAAGAAUUCUCAGCCAUAAGUGAGUGGAAAUGCAAAUCAAAACAAAAAGAUACCACUAACAAAAAGAAAAUGUUAAUAGUAGCCAGUGUUGUUGAGGACACUAAAACAUAUUAUUCGUAUGUUUAUAAAUUGCCACAUGCUUUCAAAAAGGCAAUUUCUAGUAUCUAUCAAUAUGUCUAAUGUACAUGUCCUUUGAUAAAGCAAAUUCUUUUCUAGAAAUCUACUUACUGCAAUGUAGUGAUUAAGAACUUCGGUUUCAGAAAUAACUGGAGGCAAGUUCCUGCUAUUCCAUUUUUAUAUGUGUACCCUUGAAGUUCUUCAUUUUUGUAAGCCUGAAAUUACUCGUUUGAAAACAAGAUAGCAAUAGGAAAAUUGCCUCACAGGGUUAUUCUGUAGAUUACAUGAAACCAUGCAUGUAAUGCAAUUUACACAUUUUAGGAGUUGAUAAAUAUUUAAUAGUGUGAUUAUUAUUAAUUAUACUAUAGAUAUGUCUCAAGUGUGAAGGAAUAACUUUAUAAGAAUGUUUAUUAUACUCUAAUAACUUCUAUUAAUAGUAUUGAAUGCAAUCUUGAAAUCACUGCAAUUAUCUUUGUACAAUUGUGGCAAAUAAAUUGGUCUUAAGAAGACAGGAGAUAGGGAAAUGCUGCUCUCUGUGACUAAUGUCACAUAUGCAAUGGACGAAGAUUCAGAAAAUUAGUAUUGGUCAACGGGCAAGUAUUAAAAUGGCUAUUAAUACAUACAUUUAAUUCUAAAGCAUUAAAUGUUUGUUGA